CCCUUAGAUGUUCUGGGCCGCACGCGCGCUACACUGAUGCAUUCAACGAGUCUAAAACCUGGUCUGAUAGGGCUGGGUAAUCUUUUGAAUGUGCAUCGUGAUUGGGAUAGAUGAUUGCAAUUCUUCAUCUUCAACGAGGAAUGCCUAGUAAACGCAAGUCAUCAGCUUGCAUUGAUUACGUCCCUGCCCUUUGUACACACCGCCCGUCGCUCCUACCGAUUGAAUGUUCCGAUGAAUACCAUGGACUGAGAGUAUGAAUGGGUUCGCCUAUUUCUGCUUCUCGGGAAGUGGAGUAAAUCUUAACAUUUAGAGGAAGGAGAAGUCGUAGCA
rnacentral:rRNA from 1 species